rnacentral:lncRNA from 1 species
CCACGUGCGUACGGUCCCAUAAUAAUGAUAAUGAUGGUAUUUGUUAAGCUAUUACUAUGUGACAGGCACUGUUCUAAGCGCUAGUGUAGAUACAAGCUAAUCAGGUUGGACACAGUCCCUGUCCCACAUAGGGCUCACGGUCUUAAUCCCCAUUUCACAGAUGAGGUGACUGAGGCCCAGAGAAGCAAAGUGUCUUGCCCAAAGUCACAAAGGAGACAAGUGGCGGAGCUGGGAUUAGAACCCCGUCGUUCUGGCCCCCCGGGCCCGUGUUCUAGCCACGAGGCGAUGCUGCUUCCCCUGGCCAGAGACCGGGAUGUCCUCCAAGUCGUCAGCAGGGAAGGCGAGUGGUUUCUUGGAUGGCAGGCGUUUGCCAUGGACAGAGGCGGCCCCGAUCCUGAAGCAGAGUCGGCCCGGUGCGCGUGUCUGAAGAUGAGUUGGGUGGCGUGCGUGACACUUUCUCCCGAUCUGCUCAUAUAGAUGACGGUGCCAAGUGUCUACAGGCGAG